rnacentral:rRNA from 1 species
AUGAACGCUGGCGGCGUGCCUAACACAUGCAAGUCGAACGGAGUCGUUUUGGAAAUCUCUUCGGAGAUGGAAUUCUCGACUUAGUGGCGGACGGGUGAGUAACGCGUGAGCAAUCUGCCUUUAAGAGGGGGAUAACAGUCGGAAAUGGCUGCUAAUACCGCAUAAAGCAUUAAAUUCGCAUGUUUUUGAUGCCAAAGGAGCAAUCCGCUUUUAGAUGAGCUCGCGUCUGAUUAGCUAGUUGGCGGGGUAACGGCCCACCAAGGCGACGAUCAGUAGCCGGACUGAGAGGUUGAACGGCCACAUUGGGACUGAGACACGGCCCAGACUCCUACGGGAGGCAGCAGUGGGGAAUAUUGCGCAAUGGGGGAAACCCUGACGCAGCAACGCCGCGUGAUUGAAGAAGGCCUUCGGGUUGUAAAGAUCUUUAAUCAGGGACGAAACAAAUGACGGUACCUGAAGAAUAAGCUCCGGCUAACUACGUG